rnacentral:misc_RNA from 1 species
GAUGAAGAACGCAGCGAAAUGCGAUAAGUAAUGUGAAUUGCAGAAUUCAGUGAAUCAUCGAAUCUUUGAACGCACAUUGCGCCCGCCAGUAUUCUGGCGGGCAUGCCUGUUCGAGCGUCAUUACAACCCUCAGGCCCCCGGGCCUGGCGUUGGGGAUCGGCGGAGCCCCCCGUGGGCACACGCCGUCCCCCAAAUGCAGUGGCGGUCCCGCCGCAGCUUCCAUCGCGUAGUAGCUAACACCUCGCGACUGGAGAGCGGCGCGGCCACGCCGUAAAACACCCAACUUCUGAAUGUUGACCUCGAAUCAGGUAGGAAUACCCGCUGAACUUAAGCAUAUCAAUAAGCGGAGGA